CCCCGCUGCUGCUGCUGCAUGGAGUGUGCCCUGGCUUGGAGCAAAGCACUGGGGGUGACCUGGGGACAGCAGGGAGGUGCCACCAGUGGUGGCUGGUGCGUGUUAGAGGAGCUGGGACCCUGCGGGGUGACAGCGCGAGCAGGGCGGGCACCGAGGCUUUGGGGGAUUUUUUUUGGAGGUGCUUUUUUGUGGAGCUCUUUGCACAGAACAGGAGCACUCAGUCUGCUCGUGGGGAAUUGCUCCUUUGAUUGAGGAAUGAAUUCAGAUUCACCCUGGUGAGGCCUCCCAAAAGCAACUGUGGACUGGCAGAGAGCUUUGUCUUGAUUCAAGUGAGCCACAGAGAUCCACAGCCCUUUCCAGAGAAAAAUGCUGAGUGCUCCCAUAGUAAUUCCCUCCCUGCACACUGAAUCCUUUUAAACACCAUCUCUGUCUCUAGGAAACGUUCUGCUAAUGUUUUAAAGGUUGUGAUUUGCCUUCCUCACUUUGGAUAACCUUUUUUUUCCCUCCUUGUGUUGUGUUGAGGGAGGAGUAACUAAACCCUUGGAGUUUAGUGUUCAGCAGGAAAUGAGGGGGAAGGACUGAUUAGUUUACAUCAAUUAAGGAAGCCAGGACUAUUUGGUGUUUAUUUGGAGGGGGUGUUGAGCUGUCUCUGAUGCUCCUUUGGGUCUGCAGAGUUUGGCAGACUCCAGUUACUAACUCACUGCUGCUUGGGAAUGGAGUUUUUCACACCCAUUAAUGAGUGGAUGCUGCAGAAUUCCCUGUGCUGAGAGAAGCAGCAGAGCAGGGGCCAUGCAGGGGAGGUGGUGACUUUAAUGGGAGUCAGGACACACCAGCAGCAGGGCUACAGCAGAAAUUUGGACAAAAUUUUGGGUUUGGCAACCUGGGGUGCCUGUCAACACCGUCUGUGUUCUGGGGCUGGGUGGGAAGGAGAAGCAAAUCCAAACUGCAGGAUGGAUUCCUUUGGAGAUUGGGUGUUUAUUCCAAACUUAAAUGGCAUUUAAUGCUGUUCCCUCAGUUGUUUCUUGAGCUGCAGCCCCAAACUUCUGAUGUGUCCCUUUUCUCUUGGGCUGUGUUGUGUCACUUAAGAAAAGCUUGGAUGGUUGGACUUGAUGAUCCUGGAGGUCUUUUCCAUCCAAAAUGAUUCUGUGGUUCUGAGCCCAUUUCCCUCUUCCCCCUCAUGUGUUGUCAGGAUUUUCCAUGGAAGUCUUCCCUAAUUCCUGUUCAUGCAGUGCCAGCCAGGUGAGCUCAGAUCACUUUCCCCAGGGGUUUAAGCUCACCUGGAUUACUCUGAGCUCUUCCCACGUGCAGCUCAGGGCACUGCUCACAUUGUUCCAGCUCAUUUCACUUUUACAGACCUUCCUGAUCCCAGGAAUCCAGGAGAAUUGCAGUGGAUUGGGUCUUUCCUGGUCAGGACAGCCCUUUGCCAGUGGGAGCUUGGCAUUCCCUGCUUUUCCAAGCCCAUUCCUGGCUGGAUUGAAACCCUCAAACCCUGGAUUGAAACCCUGAAAGGAUGUGGACUCAGAAAUCUGGAUAGGCAAGAGGCCUCUCCAGGAGUGAGCACAGGCAGUG